rnacentral:rRNA from 1 species
UCAGACGAUGCGUCAUGCAUAUCAAUAAGCGGAGGAAAAGAAACUAACAAGGAUUCCCCUAGUAACGGCGAGUGAAGCGGGAAGAGCUCAAAUUUGAAAUCUUAAAGGGUUUCCCUUUACGAAUUGUAGUUUAAAGAAGUGUUUUCUGUUGAGGUUUUGGUAAAAGUUCUUUGGAAUAGGACAUCAUAGAGGGUGAGAAUCCCGUAUUUGACCUUUACUUUCAACUUUGUGAUACACUUUCAAAGAGUCGGAUUGUUUGGGAAUGCAGUCCAAAAUGGGUGGUAAAUUUCAUCUAAAGCUAAAUAUUGGCGAGAGACCGAUAGCGAACAAGUACCGUGAGGGAAAGAUGAAAAGAACUUUGAAAAGAGAGUUAAACAGUACGUGAAAUUGUCAAAAGGGAAGCGUUUGACACCAGUGGUUGUUUUUCUGAAAAUCAAUUAAAGAACUGUUUAUGCUAAGUUGUUUAGACUUUAUCAGCUAACUGUUUAGUUUUGAGCUUUUCUUUAAUGCACUUUUCAGUUAACAAGUCAACAUCAAUUUCUUUUGCUGUAAAAAAGCUUGAGGAAGGUGGCUUGAGAUUCGUCUUAAGUGUUUAUAGCCUCUUGCCUAUGCAGUCGGAGAGAUUGAGGUCUGCAGCGUAGAUCCUUCGGGGCUAAAUGCAUUUGUGCUAAGUUAUAGCAUUUUAUAGACAACUUGUUGACUAUGAUUUGUCUUGUAGCUUACUCGCUUAUGUUAUUUUACCUACGCUUAGGAUGUUGAGCGCAUGUCUCUCUCU